UCUCUGUUGGUGAACCAGCGGAGGGAUCAUUACAGGACUCGCAAGACUCCUACAACCCUGUGAACUUAACUAUAAGCACGUUGCUUCGGCGGGUGUCUCGGAGGGGGUUCUCCCUCCCCGAGACGCUAAACCCGCCGGCAGCCUACUAUACUCUGUCUCUUUGCGUUGGCAUCUCGAGUACAAUCAAACAAGUUAAAACUUUCAACAACGGAUCUCUUGGUUCUG
rnacentral:misc_RNA from 1 species